rnacentral:rRNA from 1 species
UACGUAGGGUGCGAGCGUUGCCCGGAUUCAUUGGGCGUAAAGAGCUCGUAGGCGGUCUGUCGCGAUCGGCUGUGAAACCGGACGCUCAACUCCGGGCCUGCAGUCGAUACGGGCAGACUGGAGUUCGGCAGGGGAGACUGGAAUUCCUGGUGUAGCGGUGAAAUGCGUAGAUAUCAGGAGGAACACCUGCGGUGUGAGACGGCUCGUCUGGGACGGUACUGACGCUGAGACGCGAAAGCGUGGGGAGCGAACAGG